ensembl:lncRNA
GUGACCGCCCCGCUAGCGGGGUGUGGGUCGAGGUGCCCCGGACUGGGAGAGAAGGAGCCUCCCUCGGCCGUAGGGAUGGGGGCUGCCCUGUAAGUCAGGGAGCAUCUGUGUCCCGGAGUCCCAGGCCCUUUUCAAUGGCGGCAGUGGCCGGGGGUCCCCUGUAAGCAGGGAAGCUGACUCUUUGGCUGCUGCUUUUUGUGUGCCCAGCCCCAUUUGCCCAGUCUGCCCGCCUCUGUGAUCCCCCGCAGCACUGGCUGGAAGUCCGCCGCGUGUCAGUGAGGAGCUGCUGCAGAAGGAAGAAGAAGAAGCGGCGUGGGGACCUGGGAGGCAGGAGCAAGCAAGAAGAGGAAGCGGAAGCGUGCAGAUGCGGGGGGGAAGGAGAGAGGCUCCCUGGGCAAAGCACCUGUCCCGUUAGCAGGGGCACAGUCACGUUUGAGUUGAGAGCUGCCGGCGCCUUUGGUGACCAGGCUGGCGUUGUGCUGGGCGACCUCCCCGUAAGCGGGGCUCGGGUCUUUGCUGUAGUUGGCCUUUUGCCUUGCUGCUCCUAGGGCUGCCUGGGGAGCGUGGCCCCCUGUAACGGAGGGCGAGAGCCACCUCUCCGCACCUGAGUGGGAAAUGGAGCUCGCCGGACCCCAAGGCCACCCUGUAAGCAGGGUAGUGCCGUUUCCCUGCCCCUCUUCCUCCCCCGGCCCCUCGGCAUCAUUGCCUGAUGGUGGCUUGUCAAUGCGACGGCCCCGUACUCGGGGUGUGUGUCCCAAGCUUUGGAGCCCUCUGUCCCUGAGCAGCCUGCCUGCCCUGUAAUCAGGUGUGGGGAGGCUGCAGCGUUGCAGCCGGCUGCUUUAGCCAUCCAGCUGGUGGGAGUGACCCCUCCCUGUCCCGUCAGAGGGUGCAGGUUGAGGUGCUGUUUGUGUGUGGGGUGACCUCCCCGCUCGGUGGGUCGAGGUAGCUCCCUGGGCUUCCAAAGACGAGACGUUGGUGAUGUUCUGCUGCUGCCGGGCGGGCCAGCCUGUAGCUCAGGCGUUGGCGGGAGCCUCAUGCUCCGCGGGGCUUCUUGAAGAGGGUGAGGUGUGGGGUACCGUCCUGUAGGCAGGGCUGUGUGUGCCCCCCGUGUGUGCUUGGUGAGCUGCGUUCUGAGAGACCCCCUGUACUCAGGUGGGAAUGUGGCCCCGGCCUUUCAGAGGCGCGGGGCCGUGAGAUGCGGGGUGGGGCUUGCGCCCUCCCUGGAAUCGGGGCUGGGUUCCCGACUGCGGCCUUUGGCCGUGCCGCCCCGCUGCCUGGCUGCUGAGAGUUGCUCCUGCCGCUGGGGGGGAAACCGAGCUCUGUGGCUCCAGGGGUGUUGUCCACCCGCCUGUAAUCAGGGUCUGGGUGCGCGAGCGUUUGUGCUCUGCUGGCAGCCUGUGUGGGGUGACCGCCCCGCUAGCGGGGUGUGGGUCGAGGUGCCCCGGACUGGGAGAGAAGGAGCCUCCCUCGGCCGUAGGGAUGGGGGCUGCCCUGUAAGUCAGGGAGCAUCUGUGUCCCGGAGUCCCAGGCCCUUUGCGUUGGAGGCAGUGGCUGGGGGCCCCCUCUAAGCAGGGAAUCUGUCUCUUUGGCCGCUGCUUUUUGUGUGCCCAGCCCCAUUUGCCCAGCCUGCCCGCCUCUGUGAUCCCCCGCGGCACCGGCUGGAAGUCCGCCGUGCAUCUUUGAGGAGCUGCUGCAGAAGGAAGAAGAAGCGGUGUGGGGACCUCGGCUGCAAAAUCAAGAUGGGGUAUCUGUUGACUGUUUUUCUUGUAAUUCUUUGCCUUUUGGAGCCACAGUUUUGAACGGUUGUGUAAGACUUUAUCACUCUUUUUGUCAGCGUCGUCAGCUGUGAAUAAAGUUUUUUUUCCAUGUUGUUUUUCCUGUUAU